rnacentral:rRNA from 1 species
GUGGGGAAUCUUCCGCAAUGGACGAAAGUCUGACGGAGCAACGCCGCGUGAGUGAAGAAGGUUUUCGGAUCGUAAAGCUCUUUCGUUAGGGACGAACGUGCUCUUUGUGAAUAAUGAGGAGUAAUGACGGUGCCUAAAUAAGAAGCCACGGCUAACUACGUGCCAGCAGCCGCGGUAAUACGUAGGUGGCAAGCGUUGUCCGGAAUUAUUGGGCGUAAAGCGCGCGCAGGCGGGAUAUCAAGUCUGUCUUAAAAGUGCGAGGCUCAACCUCGUGAGGGGACAGAAACUGGUAUUCUUGAGUGUCGGAGAGGAAAGUGGAAUUCCAAGUGUAGCGGUGAAAUGCGUAGAGAUUUGGAAGAACACCAGUGGCGAAGGCGACUUUCUGGACGAUGUCUGACGCUGAGGCGCGAAAGCUAGGGGAGCGAACGGGAUUAGAUACCCUGGUAGUCC